CCGUAUUCCUUCUAGUAGUCUCUCCCAGCCGCUUGUCCGUCCCACUAUUGUGACUAUAGUCUAGCCAAGCGGGAUUACCGUAUUCUGGUUAUAAUAUACACAAUGGUAAUUGUCUAGGAUGAACAAAAUAUGCACAAAGAAAAUAGAAAAAAGGAUACGCGCCCCCUAGUGAAGUAUGUCAAUAUUUCUACAUUUAUGGGAAACAGGGGACCCAUAUUCUCUGAUACAUACGUAUGGUAGAAGUGGACAACCUUUUCUGUCUACAAGUCACUUUAUCAGAGGAGUAUUUAUGGCAUAUGAAAAGCAAUAGUAUGUGCCAUAAAUGUCUAUAAGAAAAUGUAUGGCACUCCCCUUGCAGUGAAAUAGUGGAAGAAUUCUAUUUAUGCAUUCCAACAUACAAAGGGAUGUUUGGUCAAUUCAGACCUUCAUCAGACCUGAUUGCUGUGGAGGAGAGAAAAAGUCAAGGACGAGUAACGAUCAGGUACCAUCUGUCAGGUCGAUGAAGUUCCUUGAAAUCAUUUUAAGUACAAGCAUGUGACAAGCCAUUCAAAAUAAAACAGUGUGAAAGAGUACUUUUAUGGAAACUUUGUUGUGGUACACCUGGGCCGGAAGAAGCGUCCGCAGUGACGCGAAACUAGUAGCCUAUCAGUGGUGUGCCCCGCGUCUGAGAGCUGUGCUGGCUCUCG